rnacentral:rRNA from 1 species
CAGCAGCCGCGGAAAUACGAAGGGGGCUAGCGUUGCUCGGAAUGACUGGGCGUAAAGGGCGCGUAGGCGGAUUGCGCAGUCAGAUGUGAAAUUCCUGGGCUUAACCUGGGGGCUGCAUUUGAGACGCGUAGUCUAGAGUGUGAAAGAGGGUCGUGGAAUUCCCAGUGUAGAGGUGAAAUUCGUAGAUAUUGGGAAGAACACCGGUGGCGAAGGCGGCGACCUGGUUCAUAACUGACGCUGAGGCGCGAAAGCGUGGGGAGCAAACAGGAUUAGAUACCCCCGUAGUCCCUGUCUCUUAUAC